UGCAUCUCUGAAGAAUCCUAGUUUUGCAACAACUUGAAAACCUUAUAACUAGAUCGAUCACAGUACCACCAUCAAUUUCUUCAUUUCUCAAGACCCCAUCUCAGAUUCAAAAGCAAACCCUAGUCUCUUCUUCAACUGACUUCUUCUUAAUCAAGAGCACGGAGUCAUCAGAAUCAUCUUCAGAUCACCUUUGACAAAAUCGAUUGAACCACAACAACGCUAGUUAGAUCUGCAAGUAAUAAUCGUUUUGUUAUGUGUAUGUGUUGGUUUUAGGUUUGUGUUUGUUAGUAGAUUUCAGUUGGAAUUUUUAUUUCAGUUGGAAGCAUCGAUCUAAGACUUUAGGUCAUUUGUGAGAUUUGGAAGCAUCGAUAUGAUAAUCAGUAUUGCUGGUGGUGGUGUUGGUAUUUGAGGCUUGGUGUUCUCUGGUGGUGGUGUUGGUAUUUGAGGCUUGGUGUUCUCUGGUGGAGUUGCAGCAACUUCAGGUGGAGGUGGUUUUGUAGGGGGUUGAAUAGAUUAUGAAGCAGAGGUUGAGGAUGAAGAAGAAUCUGAAAAAUCAAAAUCAGAAGUGAAUUAUUAAGAUGAUGAAGAAGAUAAGAGUGGUGGAGAGAAUAUUGGAGCAACAUGGUCUCUCAUAAGAAGAGGUACAAAGAUAUACGAAAGAUUUAUCAGAAGAAAAGGUACAAAGAGCUACAAAACUUUUACCAUGUAAGAUAGUGAAAAAGGAAGGAAAGCCUUGUGUUGAGGUUAAACGUAAGGAUGGGGAGACUUGAGGUUUUCAGUCCUGGGGAAAUUAAUGCUAUGAUUCAAUCUAAGAUGAAGGAAACAACUGAAGCAUUCCCAGGAAAAAAAAUUAAGGAUGCAGUCAUUAGUAUACCUGAGAUAGGCUACCAAGGCUACUACUGUAAUCGCUGGAUUAAAUGUAGCAAGAAUCAUCAACGAGCCAACUGCAUUCGCUAUCGCAUUUGGUCUGGGCAAAUCAAGGAAAGCUGAUGAGAACAAAUCUAUUUUCCACGGGGAGGGUAUCUUAUUUAAUUUAAAGCAUCUCUCACCCUUAUUCUGCCCUGUAAACUUUAAACUUACAAUAACUUUUAAAACUGAUGCACCACCACUGACCAUUUCCUUUCAGUGUGAACUAUUCUGGGCUAGUAUUCAAAAUCGAUAUGUUUCUUUGGAGUGUUCUUAUUUCACUUACCCUAAGGCAACUGAUAAUUACAUCUGUUGAUGACCACCUAUGCUAUAAAUGCAUAUCUAGCUUAGUCAAGUCUACUUCAGAUAAAAGUAAAACAUUUUUGAGUUUCGUUACAUAGUUAUAAAAAUAUGUAAAAUCGUUAUGUCUUUUCUUCUUGGCAAUAUUUCAUCCAGGGGAUACCAAUUUUUUUUUGCGCGAGUUUGAAAAAUGUGGGCUUAUAUUGAAGCAAGUUCCUGGCACUGGUGAUGCUUAACUGGACGCAUAUUCUAUAUCAGAACAAGGCCCAAAUGGUUAUUAUUGCACACGAUGUUGAAUCAUCGAUUUCAUUGAGCUUGUUGUUUGGCUUCCAGCCUUAUGCCGUAAAAAGAAAAUCCCAUAUGCCACUGUGAAGGGAAAGGCUCGUCUUGGAGCGAUCGUACACUAGCUUAUGUCAUGUGCUGUCUGGGUCCUCAUUCUGCACCGACCUGUGAAUUUCCAAUUCCCUUUGUUGUCCUUCAACAUGAUGCAGAUACACUCACAACAGCAGUAGUUUCUGAAUGUUCAUGAUCAACAACUACUCUGAAACGAAGGUAUUUGGGCUUAAGUCAAAAAGCAGUACUCUUGUGAUAUUUUAACAGCAACUGAAUCUACGUAUGAUUUACUAAGGAAAUUGGUUAAGCAAGCGGAGUCUUGUGAUACUCUUGGUGAUAUUUUAGUUUUUCUUUCCCUGUUUUUCAAUGCCUCUGUCAGUUGAUACAAACUAGGUCCAUCCAUUUUUGAACAUCAACAUAGAUUGAAUAUUCUAUGUCCGUCACAAAAUUUGUUCAUUAAGUUACUUGUGAUAUUUUAGUUUACUUGUGUAUCAAUUGAA